rnacentral:misc_RNA from 1 species
AUUGUUUUGGAUAUAUGAUUGGCAUUACCUUAUUGAUGAAAUUAUGUGUUGGAGACAUUUUAGCACAAGGUUGGAACUUGGAACUUGCUUGCUUUUUUUCCAUUUUUUCGGGGAUGUAGCCAGGUUGCUUUCUUCGUACCACGUCAAUGUUUUUCUGGACUUGCCUAUUUUUAUUCAUUGAAAACAAAAAAGAUAAAAGGUAAAUCAAGAAACAUGUUGUACAUAAGAUGGGGAAAAGAAAGGCAACUUAGCUCAGAACAUACUUCCAAGAAGAGGCAAAUUGAUGAUAUUUACGAGAUCUCUGACUAUUCUGUCUAUGAACAGAAUAUGGGAAUGACUUUGGCUUAUCUGUAUAUUAUAAUAGCUAUGUUUUUAGAUGAGAAAUUGCCACUAUAUUUUGUAAACCUUAUUGAAUGGCAACUCUUCCUACUUGCCCACCUUUGAUUAUAAUGAUAUAGUUCUGAAAAAUGACAUUAUGGAUAACUUUAUUUGAUAAAAAAUUUGGUCAAGGAACCUUUUGUGAAAUUGAGAUGGACAUCUGUGUAUGGUUGCUAGAAUUAGUGGAAGAAGACCCAGACAAAAAGUUGAAAUUUGAGUGAGUAAGGAGGUUGGAUCCCACUAAUGCUUUGUUCGUCUUUUUUCCACCUGCCUUUUUUGGAAUAAAUUUAUCUGCUUAAAAGUAAAAAAUUUCAGUGGUCUGAAGUAAUUUUCUGACUUCUCCUUCCAUUUUGAAUUACCUAAACCACUCAUUUACCUCAUUUAAAGGAUGAAUUAGAUUACCUCACUUGUUCUUUUUUUGUUGACUGGAUGGGCACAAAAGGUUUUGCCCUUCUAUCAUUUGGAUGAAUAAAUAAGUGAUAGGGAGGGAAAGGAAUGGAAGAUUAUUUAAUCUUCUUUUCCUCGUAUGUUACUUGAAAAGAAGUGUAAAUUUUAUACAUUGUAGUGUGUCACAUAAUUACUCAAUUCGCCAAGAAUGUGAAGGAAUGGAAAGCAACUGAAGUUUUUUCUCCUAUUUAAAAUCUCCUCUUUGAUUUGUAUGCAACGUAGAUGUGUUGGUUUAGGAUGUUUAGUUGUAUGGUCGUAAUGGUGGUGCUGACCAAUAUAAUGGUAAGACAUGGUGUUGAUCUGGGUCUGUGCCCUGUGGUUACCAAUGUUGUUUUUUUAAAAAAAGUUUUGGGGCUAGUACUUUUCCUCUGAGAUAUCAGGUGUUUAAUGCAACCAUGAUUUUGUUAUGACUGGUAGCCAAAGUAGUUUGAUAACAAUUCAGGAUCAUGACAAACAUGUUUCAAUGUGAAGAUAAGUGCAGAAAAGAAAU